GAGAGGUAAAGGUUACUUAACGAACGAUAUUUCGGUUAGGAAACGGAUGCAUUCCAAAUACGUGUUGUAUCGAGAAGGAAAGUUACGUAUGAAUUUGCGGCUCUCACCCUUCGCGUUUGAGGUUACAAUAGACUGGAAACCGGCAUCGAUAGUUAUCACGUGGCAGAGUCGUCGACCGGGAAGAGCUUGUUUUCCACCGAUAUGACUCUCUCUCGUUAAACGAACCACACGCGCGCGCGCGGUUUCCAAUUUUUCCUCCUCUUACUCUUUCUCUCUCUCCCUCUCUCUCUCUCUCGCGUCACACGCGUUUUCCCAGUCGAUGGAAUUGCAAACGCACGCGUAAAAAGUGGCUGAUGAGCAAUCGGUGAACCGGAACGAUUGAACUCUGUCAGGUCUUUGCGCCUAUUCGUGGUGGCUGCAUCGCCGAAACAAAUUCCAUUACACGAUAAUUUACGCUAAUUUCUCUCUCUCUUUCCUUCUCACUAUUUUCUCCCGUUUUUCGAGUCGUUCGAGUUCGAGCAAUUUUCAUUCGUCAGAAAUUUUUUUUUUUCCUCUCCAAAUCGAGGUUUGCAUCGAUAAUUAAAGAUUUUAAUUAUACCAGAAUCUCUCUCUCUCUGUCGGUCCAUUGAUACGUGAUGCCUCGUGUCGGGACGGGACAGAUACCGUAUAACACGGGUGUGCCGUCGUCGCGACGGUGAACGAGACUGAAUGGCAGACGCGAGGUUGGCGCCGCUCGAUCAACCCGAUAAUUAGCCAGUGACGUCUGAAAGGAACGGAGGAUGAAGAGGAAACGAGACAUAACGUGAUAUAUGGAGAGAGGGAGGGGGGGAUGUAGGUGACGACGAUGAUUAGAUCUCCUUUUUUCUUUUUUUGCGGAUUUUUAAUUUUUCAUCUUGUAUCGUUUUGGAGAUAUUUUACGUAGAAACGAAAUCAUAAUUCAAAAUAUCGAUUCUAAGCAUCUGUUUUACUCGUAUGAAUGAUUGCAAUCGAAGCGAAGUAAAAAUACGUAGGUAAAAUGUUGUCAAAAUUUAUAAUGAAAUAUCGUGUUAUCGAAUAUUCGAAAUUGAAAAAAGUAUUAUAAUAGUUCCGAGUUAUUACAUGAUAUUUAAAGGAAACUUUAAAGUAAGGAGUAUUCAAAAAUCUCGAUUAAUGGCGGAACGUGUAAAAUUUCCUUAAAAGGUAAUUCAAAGAAUUUCGCUCCCGGAAUGAGAGGAAUGUCUCCGCGUAACUUCGGUCGGUUGAAUUCAAUUUUAUUUACCAUGGCGUUUAAUAUCCGACCGAGAAGAUCGAUACAGGUUAACCGGUUCACUGUUAGGGAAAAGGAAAUUCGAGGCGAUCUACGAGCAUGUAUCCCGACUGAGAGAACCUUACUUAACAGAGGCAGAAUUUAUUUUUAUGUGGGUUCAUCUUGUUGCCUUUGCAAUCCGGACAUCGUAAAUUCCUCGCGAAAGCUAUGCCUCGUGACAGAUUAAUUACGUACAAAAAAAAAACGUAUUUGAAAUAGGCAAGCUCGAUUCUUUCUUGCUUUGGAUUUAAUUUUAUAUUAAAUUGUCCAAUUCUUAAAAAUUUUUCACAUUUUUAUCGAUCUUUAUUAUCAUCGAAAUCAAAAGAAAGAAUUAUUAUUAACGUACAAAAAGAUAUUAAUUUAAACGAGAAGUGGAUCUUCAACCGACGUUUCGACGAAAGUUGGCGAAAGUUGGCGAAAAAGGCCGAGCGCCAACAUCGACCAAGAUCGGCCAAGAUCGACUAAGAUCGGCUACGCACGAUCACAGUAAACUCGGCGAAAGUUGGCGAAAAAGACCGAGUACACGAUGUUCGAUCAUUGCAACGGGAGUUGAGUAUUAAAAAAGUAACUAGUUAAAAAUAAAAUUAUUUUAAGUUAAUCACUUAUUAAAAUCACUUAAAUAACAUAUAUAUUUCUCAUAUAAUCUCGUUUGUUUGGCAUUAUAAUUACUUGUAAUUGUUAUUACACUUCGAGCAAUAAAUUAUUGAAAUAACCUAUGAAAUAACCUAUGAAAGCAAUUUUACUCGUAACUUGAGCUAUUAAAUUUUCACCGUUUAUGUGUCACCGCAUUGUAUCAAGUUCCGGAAUGGGAUAGAAAGAAAAGAAUCGUGAAAGUUUACAAUAUUCUCAUCGAAAUCGAUCUGAAUCAACAAUUUCCAUAAAACGAAAUUCGUCUCGUCAAACUAUUUCGAAUCAUAGAGGCGAUUUUUCAUCGCGGAUUGUUUACGAAAUUCACCGACGAACAAUGGGUCCCGCUGUUUGCCAGAAUUUUUUCAACCGUACUGCCUUCUUCGAGCAGAGGCCAGAUAAGAAAAAGAGAAUCGAAGAAUCCGAACACUCGACAUGAUAUCUCAUCGAGGAUCGAAAAUCGAGAAGAAGCACUCGAUUAAAGAGGAGGAGGAGGAGGGGAGGGGAAAUGGAUCGGGAAGCAGCCGUGUAAAAAGUUACGAAAAAUGGUGGCCACUCAUGGACGUCCGUGGAUUUCCUUUUAUCGCCCGCUUCCGGUUCCAUCAACGUUGCAACGAUCGAACGAUCCAUUUUUCGCGCAUCCACUUCGAAAAUGUGCCUCGAAGCCGCGUUUCUGAUUCAGAUGAAAAAAAAAAAAAAUUAUCGUCGAUGAUCUCCAUCUCUUUCGCUAUCUCCUGAUACAACAAUCGAUAAAAAAGAAUGCAAGAAA